rnacentral:rRNA from 1 species
AUUGAACGCUGGCGGCAGGCCUAACACAUGCAAGUCGAACGAGUGGCGGACGGGUGAGUAAUGUCUGGGAAACUGCCUGAUGGAGGGGGAUAACUACUGGAAACGGUAGCUAAUACCGCAUACCAUCAGAUGUGCCCAGAUGGGAGUAGCUUGUUGGUGGGGUAACGGCUCACCAAGGCGAAGAUCCCUAGCGGGUCUGAGAGGAUGACCAGCCACACUGGAACUGAGACACGGUCCAGACUCCUACGUGAGGCAGUAUUGGGGAAAAUUGCACAAUGGGCGCAAGCCUGAUGCAGCCAUGCCGAGUGUAUGAAGAAGGCCUGCGGAUUGGAAAGGACUUUCAGCGGGGAGGCGUUACCCGCAGAAGAAGCACCGGCUAACUCCGUGCCAGCCGCAGCGGUAAUAC